rnacentral:rRNA from 1 species
AUGAGAGCAUCAGUACUACUUCUCCAAGCGAGGGGUUCCUCCUCCACCUUCUUCCCCGGCCCCAAGUCGCCUGACCCCCUUGCCCUCGCUCAUGCGCUCUCCGCGGCCUCCCGCUCCUCCAGGUCACCGUCGCGCCUCCACGCGCAGGUCCUCAAGCUCGGCAUGUCCGGCGACACUUUCACCACGAACCACCUCCUCAUCUCCUACUCCAGAAGCGGGCUACUCGGGAGCGCGCUGGCCGUGUUCGACGAAAUGCCGCACAGGAACCUGGUUUCCUGGACCGCCAUGGUGUCCGCCUCGACACGCGGUGGCGCGGCUGAACUGGGCAUCGGGCUGUUCGUCUCCAUGCUGAGGAGCGGCUUCUUCCCGAACGAGUUCUCUCUUGCCAGCGCGCUCCGUGCUGCCUGUGAUCGGUCCGCUGCCCGUGCCAAGCUCCAGUUUGGCGCUUUGCUCCAUGGCGUCGCGGUGAAGGUCGGCGUGGAUGCCGAUCCUUUCCUGGGAAGCUCAUUGCUGCUCAUGUAUGCCAGACAUGGGUGUGUCGCUGCUGCGGAGCGCGCAUUUGCGGACGUCCGGUGCAAAGACUUGACGUGCUGGAACGCGAUGCUGGAGGGUUAUGUCUCCAAUGGUUGUGGAUAUGGCGCGAUGAGGGCCAUGGCUCUGAUGCAACAGUGUGGGCUACCAGCUGACAUGUUCACCUACGUUUCAGCUCUCAAGGCAUGUUCCAUCACGGGGGAGCUGGAUUUCGGACGGCGGCUUCAUGGAUGUGUCAUCCAUAACAUGUUUGAGUCUGAUACCUCCGUGAUGAAUGCUCUUGUUGAUAUGUAUUUGAGAUCCGGGCUGACGGACAUUGCCAUGGCUGCUUUUGGUAGGAUCCGGCAAAAGGACACGAUUUCUUGGAACACACUGAUAUCCCGUUUCGCGCAUGAUGAAGACGAUAGAGCGGCUGCAUGCUGCUUUGCUGAUAUGCCGCUAUCGGGUUCUAAGCCUAAUGAAGUCACUUUCUCUAUCAUGCUGAGGCUGAGUGGUGCUAAAGAGAACGCCUCACUUGGUCUUCAGAUAUUCAGCCUUUCCUAUCGUCAUGGCUACUCUGACGAUGUUCUUGUCGCAAAUGCAGUUAUCAACAUGCUUUCGAGAUGUGGAUUACUUAACUGCGCACAUGGCUUCUUCUGUAACCUCAAGUUCAGAAACAUUGUGACAUGGAACGAGAUGAUUGCAGGUUAUGGUCUGUACAGCUGUUCUGAAGAUGCAAUGAGGCUCUUCCGCAGCAUGGUUUGCUUCGGUGAAAGACCAGAUGAGUUCACCUAUUCAGCCAUUUUGUCUGCUUUCCAAGAAUCUCAUGAAGCAAGGAACCAUGAGCAACUCCAUGCAAUUAUUCUGAAACAAGGCGUUGCUUCACGGCAGUUCGUGUCAACUUCACUGAUCAAGACAAAGGCAGUGUUUGGAUCAGUUCAGGGUGCGCUGAAAGUCAUUGAGGACACUGGCGAGAUGGAUUUUGUGUCAUGGGGUGUCAUCAUCACUUCAUUCCUCAAGCAUGGCUUGAACAAUGAGGUCCUUUUCCUUUUUAACUUGUUUAGAAGUGACCGCAUGAACAAACCUGACGAGUUUAUCCUAGCUACAGUCCUGAAUGCCUGUGCGAACGCUGCACUGAUCCGGCAGUCCAGAUGUAUCCAUUCAAUUGUUGUCAGGACGGGGCACUGGAAGCACUUCUGCGUGGCGAGCGCUCUAGUCGAUGCGUAUGCAAAGUGCGGUGACAUAUCAGCUGCGGAGAGUGCUUUUGCUACUAUUUCAUCAGUAAGUGCCGAUGCCAUAUUGUACAACACCAUGCUGACAGCUUACGCCAACCAUGGCCGGAUCAACGAAGCCCUCAGUCUCUACCAAGAUAUGGCACAGGCUCAAUUGAUCCCCACCCCAGCUACUUUUGUUGCCAUUGUAUCAGCGUGCAGCCAUUUUGGGCUAGUUGAAGAGGGGAAGGUUGUGUUCAAUCUGAUGAUGUCUGAAGGUCAGGGUAUGAAUCCAACGAGGGCCAACUUUGCUACCCUGGUUGAUCUCCUGGCGCGGAAAGGGCUCCUUCGCGAGGCGAAAGGCGUGAUCGAAGUAAUGCCUUUCCAACCAUGGCCUGCGGUUUGGAGGUCCCUGAUGAACGGUUGUCGGAUCCACGGGAACAAAGAACUUGGCGUGCUUGCAGCAGAGCAGAUCAUGAGGAUGACCCCGAGCAGUGAUGGCGCCUAUGUAUCGCUUUCGAAUGUCUUUGCUGAUGUUGGAGAGUGGCAUUCUGCAGAAGAGGCUAGGAUGGUGAUGGCCGAGAAUCAAGUCUGGAAGGUGCAAGGGUAUAGCAGGAUUGAGGUUUAG